GCGCCCGUAGCUCAGCUGGAUAGAGCAGCUGACUUCUAAUCAGCAGGUCGCAGGUUCGAAUCCUGCCGGGCGUACCA
rnacentral:tRNA from 1 species